rnacentral:tRNA from 1 species
GGUAAAGUGGCAGACAAUUGCCUUAGGUUUAAGCCCUAUUCAUGGGGAACACCCCCUUUACUA